AUUUGACUAGAUGAUUCGAUCGUUUGUCACUUAUUUUGUAAGUAGCAAAAGAUAGUAUCAAAAAUUUGGCUCUCUAGUGAACAUCAAGUAGAGAAAAGGAGAAUCUCUCUGUGACUAUAUAAACUACUUCAAUGCAGUUGUCCUAGAGGUACGUGACCUGAACCAAUUGAUCGCUAUGACUUUCCUGAAGGAUGGACUUUAGAAGAAUUCUCUCCUCUACUCUUUGGGGAAGAAGUAUCCGAAGGAUUUUACAGAGAUGUUGGAUCAGGCUGAAAAGUAUGUCUGAGCUGAUGAAGCUUUUGAAAAGCAUAGGACUUCGAUCGAGGCUUUGAUUGAAGAAAAGAAAGAAGGUCCCA
rnacentral:lncRNA from 1 species